rnacentral:rRNA from 1 species
AAAUUGAAGAGUUUGAUCAUGGCUCAGAUUGAACGCUGGCGGCAGGCCUAACACAUGCAAGUCGAACGGUAACAGGAAGCAGCUUGCUGCUUUGCUGACGAGUGGCGGACGGGUGAGUAAUGUCUGGGAAACUGCCUGAUGGAGGGGGAUAACUACUGGAAACGGUGGCUAAUACCGCAUAACGUCGCAAGACCAAAGAGGGGGACCUUCGGGCCUCUUGCCAUCAGAUGUGCCCAGAUGGGAUUAGCUAGUUGGUGAGGUAACGGCUCACCAAGGCGACGAUCCCUAGCUGGUCUGAGAGGAUGACCAGCCACACUGGAACUGAGACACGGUCCAGACUCCUACGGGAGGCAGCAGUGGGGAAUAUUGCACAAUGGGCGCAAGCCUGAUGCAGCCAUGCCGCGUGUAUGAAGAAGGCCUUCGGGUUGUAAAGUACUUUCAGCGGGGAGGAAGGUGUUGUGGUUAAUAACCACAGCAAUUGACGUUACCCGCAGAAGAAGCACCGGCUAACUCCGUGCCAGCAGCCGCGGUAAUACGGAGGGUGCAAGCGUUAAUCGGAAUUACUGGGCGUAAAGCGCACGCAGGCGGUCUGUCAAGUCGGAUGUGAAAUCCCCGGGCUCAACCUGGGAACUGCAUUCGAAACUGGCAGGCUUGAGUCUUGUAGAGGGGGGUAGAAUUCCAGGUGUAGCGGUGAAAUGCGUAGAGAUCUGGAGGAAUACCGGUGGCGAAGGCGGCCCCCUGGACAAAGACUGACGCUCAGGUGCGAAAGCGUGGGGAGCAAACAGGAUUAGAUACCCUGGUAGUCCACGCCGUAAACGAUGUCUACUUGGAGGUUGUGCCCUUGAGGCGUGGCUUCCGGAGCUAACGCGUUAAGUAGACCGCCUGGGGAGUACGGCCGCAAGGUUAAAACUCAAAUGAAUUGACGGGGGCCCGCACAAGCGGUGGAGCAUGUGGUUUAAUUCGAUCGACCGCGACGAACCUUACCUGGUCUUGACAUCCACAGAACUUUCCAGAGAUGGAUUGGUGCCUUCGGGAACUGUGAGACAGGUGCUGCAUGGCUGUCGUCAGCUCGUGUUGUGAAAUGUUGGGUUAAGUCCCGCAACGAGCGCAACCCUUAUCCUUUGUUGCCAGCGGUUAGGCCGGGAACUCAAAGGAGACUGCCAGUGAUAAACUGGAGGAAGGUGGGGAUGACGUCAAGUCAUCAUGGCCCUUACGACCAGGGCUACACACGUGCUACAAUGGCGCAUACAAAGAGAAGCGACCUCGCGAGAGCAAGCGGACCUCAUAAAGUGCGUCGUAGUCCGGAUUGGAGUCUGCAACUCGACUCCAUGAAGUCGGAAUCGCUAGUAAUCGUGGAUCAGAAUGCCACGGUGAAUACGUUCCCGGGCCUUGUACACACCGCCCGUCACACCAUGGGAGUGGGUUGCAAAAGAAGUAGGUAGCUUAACCUUCGGGAGGGCGCUUACCACUUUGUGAUUCAUGACUGGGGUGAAGUCGUAACAAGGUAACCGUAGGGGAACCUGCGGUUGGAUCACCUCCUUACCUUAAAGAAGC